rnacentral:rRNA from 1 species
UCCACCGGAGCUUGCUCCACCGGAAAAAGAAGAGUGGCGAACGGGUGAGUAACACGUGGGUAACCUGCCCAUCAGAAGGGGAUAACACUUGGAAACAGGUGCUAAUACCGUAUAACAAUCAAAACCGCAUGGUUUUGAUUUGAAAGGCGCUUUCGGGUGUCGCUGAUGGAUGGACCCGCGGUGCAUUAGCUAGUUGGUGAGGUAACGGCUCACCAAGGCCACGAUGCAUAGCCGACCUGAGAGGGUGAUCGGCCACAUUGGGACUGAGACACGGCCCAAACUCCUACGGGAGGCAGCAGUAGGGAAUCUUCGGCAAUGGACGAAAGUCUGACCGAGCAACGCCGCGUGAGUGAAGAAGGUUUUCGGAUCGUAAAACUCUGUUGUUAGAGAAGAACAAGGAUGAGAGUAACUGUUCAUCCCUUGACGGUAUCUAACCAGAAAGCCACGGCUAACUACGUGCCAGCAGCCGCGGUAAUACGUAGGUGGCAAGCGUUGUCCGGAUUUAUUGGGCGUAAAGCGAGCGCAGGCGGUUUCUUAAGUCUGAUGUGAAAGCCCCCGGCUCAACCGGGGAGGGUCAUUGGAAACUGGGAGACUUGAGUGCAGAAGAGGAGAGUGGAAUUCCAUGUGUAGCGGUGAAAUGCGUAGAUAUAUGGAGGAACACCAGUGGCGAAGGCGGCUCUCUGGUCUGUAACUGACGCUG